GUGGCUACCUAAAUAGAGUAUCUGGCAAGAGUAAGAUUAAGCAGUAAUUUGUUCCAAAGAAGAAUCUUCUACCAAGCCCAGUGAGAGUCAAAGAUUCUCCAGAAGACCAUAUCUACCUGGCCAGCUGCCACCACCUCCACCCUACAGGCCAAGAUGGGUUCCACCAAGUCCCCCACCUCCCUAUGGCUCAAGACUUAAUUCACCACUUUCUCUUCUCUUUGUCCCAGGGCGAGUUCCACCAUCUUCUCUCUCUCGAUUUAGCCAAGCAGUCAUUCUAUCUCAACUCUUUCCAUUGGAAUCUAUUAGACAACCUCGACUCUUUCCGGGUUAUCCAAACCUGCAUUUCCCUCUAAGACCUUACUAUGUAGGACCUAUUAGGAUAUUAAAACCCCCAUUUCCUCCUACUCCUUUUUUUCUUGCUAUUUACCUUCCUAUCUCUAAUCCUGAGCCCCAAAUAAAUAUCACCACCGCAGAUACAACAAUCACCACAAAUCCCCCUACCACUGCAACAGCAACCACCAGCACUUCCACAAAACCCACAAUGACGGUCAGCUCCUCAACAGUACCUAUCUCUUCAACACCAGAGCCUGCCACCUCCAUAUCAG
rnacentral:sRNA from 1 species